rnacentral:lncRNA from 1 species
AGGAGCGGAGGCUCGAGGACCUGCGCCGCCUCGGCGGGGCCGCCGGUCUCGUCGGUACGCUGUGAUAGAAAUAAUAGAAGAUAAGAACAAUAAUUGAAUGAAGCUUUAUUGUAGAAAUGAAAUAGCUUUAGCUUGAAUACAUUAACAUGUUCCUCUCCUAUUUAUAGGAUUAAGAGGGAGGAUUUUCCUCAACAGAAUAGAGGAUUUUCCUUAACAGAAUAGAUAAGAUUUCCUCCUAUAUGGGGAAAUCUUAUCUUCUAUCAUGCCCCCGCAAGAUGGUGCUCCUGACAAGGAUACCAAUCUUGGAUCGGUAAGAAAGAGGCUUCGUGAGUAAGAUAAGUGUAAAUCGCUGCUGCUGCUGCUGCAAUUGCUGUUGCUAUGAUGGCACAGGCGACGUUGGUCGCUGGCCGAAGGCAAGAGCGAAGCUUCGCUUUUCUCAACGACGUUGGUCGUGGUUGCGAUUACGACGGCUGCGACGGUAGAGAAGAAAUCUACAGCAAUGUUGCAGUAAUGCUGCUACAGCAAAGGAGGAAACUGCAACAGAGGAGGAAGCUGUAGCAGAAGAGGAAGGAAAAUAGCUACAACGAGGAAGAAAGGUGGGGCAGUGCUGAUGAGCAGCACUAGAGAUGCCGUAGCGGAAGGGAACAGACGUUGGCGCAGCUUGCUCUAGGCAAGCGGCUCUGAUACCAUGAUAGAAAUAAUAGAAGAUAAGAACAAUAAUUGAAUGAAGCUUUAUUGUAGAAAUGAAAUAGCUUUAGCUUGAAUACAUUAACAUGUUCCUCUCCUAUUUAUAGGAUUAAGAGGGAGGAUUUUCCUCAACAGAAUAGAGGAUUUUCCUUAACAGAAUAGAUAAGAUUUCCUCCUAUAUGGGGAAAUCUUAUCUUCUA